GUGGGGAAUUUUGGACAAUGGGCGCAAGCCUGAUCCAGCAAUGCCGCGUGUGUGAAGAAGGCCUUCGGGUUGUAAAGCACUUUUGGCAGGAAAGAAAUAGUGCGUGCUAAUACCAUGCGCGAAUGACGGUACCUGCAGAAUAAGCACCGGCUAACUACGUGCCAGCAGCCGCGGUAAGACGUAGGGUGCAAGCGUUAAUCGGAAUUACUGGGCGUAAAGCGUGCGCAGGCGGUUUUGUAAGACAGUUGUGAAAUCCCCGGGCGCAACCUGGGAACUGCACUUGUGACUGCAAGGCUAGAGUGUGUCAGAGGGAGGUGGAAUUCCGCGUGUAGCAGUGAAAUGCGUAGAGAUGCGGAGGAACACCGAUGGCGAAGGCAGCCUCCUGGGAUAACACUGACGCUCAGGCACGAAAGCGUGGGGAGCAAACAGGAUUAGAUACCCCGGUAGUCC
rnacentral:rRNA from 1 species